UUGGCUCUGAUAAUGGCCCGGUUUUUGCCAGUAGGGUUGCCCAGGAACUUGCUAAAUUCUUGCAAGUUACCUGGCAGUUUCAUAUACCCUAUCAUCCACAGAAUACAGGGGUAGUUGAAAGGAUGAAUAGGACUAUUAAGGAAAAGCCCAGAAUUUACCCAGGAACAUGGGUAAAUUGGACUAGAUAUCUACCAGCUAUUUUAGCUGAGAUAAGAGUGAUUCCUCACAAGGUGACUAAAUUAUCUCCAUUUGAGAUUUUGAUGGGAUGACCUUUUCCCACACCCUGGGCCAGGGAACUGCUUGUUAUAAUGUCUGGGGAUUUACAGCUAAUACAAGAACAAUAUGUACAGGAGUUGUUGAUAAAACCGAAUGGUAUGUAUGACAAUGUUUCUUCGCAGUUUUCCCUUACCUUCACAGGAACCUACUCAUUCAUACCAGCCCGGUGACAAGGUGUAUAUCCGUCAGCUGAACAGGACCAAGAAAGGAGGAUACCCUUUUGGACCACCUGCUACUGUGAUUGCUGUAACCAGAACCGCUGUCCUCACAGAUUCCCAUGACAUCUGGAUUCACGCAUCCCGAGUGAAGCUGUGUCCAAAGAGGGGAACCAAGGAAGACAACACCACUCCUCGCUCGGAAACAGAAGAAGUCCCCCUUAGCGAAGCAUCAUGGUUUUCACACCAUAUCGUAGAUUGAGAGGAUCAUACGAAUCUGAGACCAAGAUUAUGUUGUGUGCUAUGUUUUCUGGAGUAGUUAUACUCCCUUUGAUAUUGUUCCUUGAAUGCCAUUAUGAAUACGAGGCAAUGGCAAGUUUGAAACCUGUUUGUUUCUGGAAAGAAGACUCUGACAUGAUGAACAAUUCUUCAAUACCCCCAGCCCAAUUAGGCCUUAACCCCUCAUCUAGCAUUCGUCACACACGCUCCCUCAAGAACUUUUCUCCACCACCUUUUUAUCAGCAUGUAAUAUGCAAUCAUUCAUUCACUGAACGCAUUUGGAUGAAUUGGACAAAUAAUAACCCUUAUAAGUAUCAAUUACUCAUAUGGAAUGUGUCCACAGCUAAUGAAACCGAUGCAUUAUGUUUGUUUGAAGGUUCACGGAAAAUUGUUAGAUCUUAUAACACAGAAAUGUGCACAGUUAAGGUUGCUAAUUACACUGGUAUCUGUGCCACCUUAUUUAAUAUAAGUUCUGAUGGUAAGAGAAAACCAUCUAAACAGGUUUGGGAUAUAUAUUAUAAGAAAAUUAGUAAGGUUGCAUAUCAAUGUAAACAAACAGGCCUUAUUACUUUUAAUAAUGAUUAUACAACUGGUACCAUUAAUUGGAAAAAGGGACAAAUGUUAGUCAUUAUGAAUGACACUGCAAUUGAGAACUAUACACUACCUUAUAUUUUUACACCUUAUUACUGUCCUUUAUCCUCUAACAUAGAACCAAAAGUCAACAACGACACACACACACCUAUUCCAUCCACAUGUGUUAAUACAACUGCCUUCUUACAAGCUGUACAUGUGUCAUUAAAAGUCACUACUCUUGUUGUAACAUUAUGUAACACAGCAAACAAAAGGCAGAAAAGGGAAUGGUAUGACACACUGUUAGGAGGUGCUGGAACCACUAUGGGUAUACUAAAUAGUAUAGACAUGGAGACCCUCAAGAAUAAGUUAAACACAGCCAGUAUGCAUAUAGGGACUGGUUUUCAUGCUACUGCAAACUGGGCUCCAACUGUUGUUAAAUCACAGGUUACAGGAUUGGAUUUAGAUAAAUCAAUGUAUAAUUAUUUAGAUAAUUUAACUGUUGCAACUAUGAAAUUCACAACAGGUCUAAGUAAUUGGAGUACUUGUGCCAUCAGGUAUUUAUGGAUGCAACACCAAAGAUCGGCAUUAGAAGACAUACUAAUGAUUCCUAAAUUAGAGAAGAUUAGAGGAAUGCUUAACCUCACAGAUAAUGAAUGGUUACUUCUGAAACCCCAAUCCACUAAAUGCAAUGAAUGGUUAACUGGUACUGUAUCACAUUUUUCAUGCUCAUGCUAUUUUACAUUAUAUCAUACAACAUCAAAGGAUGUUAAAUUAGCUUGUCAAUUUAACACAUUACCAGUACCAGUUUAUGAUCUCUUUGCCAAGAAUUUAACCUGGUGGGCACCCACAUACACAGGGGACUAUAUUUUUCCCAAAGAUAACACACACAGGUAGCCACACAUAUC
rnacentral:lncRNA from 1 species